rnacentral:rRNA from 1 species
CACGUAGGCGGACCGGAAAGUUGGGGGUGAAAUCCCGGGGCUCAACCCCGGAACUGCCUUCAAAACUAUCGGUCUGGAGUUCGAGAGAGGUGAGUGGAAUUCCGAGUGUAGAGGUGAAAUUCGUAGAUAUUCGGAGGAACACCAGUGGCGAAGGCGGCUCACUGGCUCGAUACUGACGCUGAGGUGCGAAAGCGUGGGGAGCAACA